UUGGCUUAGAAGCAGCCAUCCUUCAAAGAAAGCGUAAUAGCUCACUGAUCGAGUCCUCAUGCGCGGAAGAUGUAACGGGGCUAAGUCUGUAACCGAAAGCGCGGAUUUGCACGCAAGUGCAAGUGGUAGGGGAGCGUUCUGUAAGCCUGCGAAGGUGUGUGGUAACGCAUGCCGGAGGUAUCAGAAGUGCGAAUGCUGACAUGAGUAACGAUAAAGCGGGUGAAAAGCCCGCUCGCCGUAAGCCCAAGGUUUCCUGCUCUACGUUCAUCGGAGCAGGGUGAGUCGGCCCCUAAGGCCAGGCUGAGAAGCGUAGCUGAUGGGAAGCAGAUUAAGAUUUCUGCACCGACGUUAAGUGCGAAGGGGGGACGGAGUUUUGAGCAUCAUCCGGGUGUUGGAUGUCCCGGUUUGUGAGUGUAGGAGGCCGGCAGGCAAAUCCGCCGGCGAAUCUCCGAGACAAAGCAUCGAGCUGCAUUUUGCAGUGAAGUGAUGGGAUGAACUUCCAGGAAAAGCCUCUAAGCUAUAGCUUAAUGUCGACCGUACCGUAAACCGACACAGGUGGGCGAGUUGAAUAUACUCAGGCGCUUGAGAGAACUCGGGAGAAGGAACUCGGCAAAUUGACACCGUAACUUCGGGAUAAGGUGUGCCUUUGUAGCGUGGAGGGAGAAACACCCCGAGCGCGAAGAGGUCUCAGAUAAUCGGUGGCUGCGACUGUUUAUUAAAAACACAGCACUCUGCAAAGACGAAAGUCGACGUAUAGGGUGUGAUGCCUGCCCGGUGCCGGAAGAUUAAGUGAUGGGGUGAGAGCUCCUGAUCGAAGUCCCGGUAAACGGCGGCCGUAACUAUAACGGUCCUAAGGUAGCGAAAUUCCUUGUCGGGUAAGUUCCGACCUGCACGAAUGGCAUAAUGAUGGCCACACUGUCUCCUCCCGAGACUCAGUGAAGUUGAAAUGUUUGUGAUGAUGCAAUCUCCCCGCGGCUAGACGGAAAGACCCCAUGAACCUUUACUGCAGCUUUGCAUUGGACUUUGAACCGAUCUGUGUAGGAUAGGCGGGAGGCAGAGAACCGAGGACGCCAGUCUUUGGGGAGCCGACGUUGAAAUACCGCCCUGAUUUGUUUGAGGUUCUAACCGCGGACAGUAAACCUGUUCCGGGACCGUGCAUGGUAGGCAGUUUGACUGGGGCGGUCUCCUCCUAAAGGGUAACGGAGGAGUACAAAGGUACGCUAGGUACGGUCGGAAAUCGUGCUGAUAGUGCAAUGGCGCAAGCGUGCUUGACUGCGAGACCGACAAGUCGAGCAGAUGCGAAAGCAGGUCAUAGUGAUCCGGUGGCACUGAAUGGAAGGGCCAUCGCUCAACGGAUAAAAGGUACUCUGGGGAUAACAGGCUGAUA
rnacentral:rRNA from 1 species